AGGUAGCGGUGGGGCUAGCCAUCCUGCUCGUGCUUCAGCCUGCGGGAGGGACACCUCCUGGGUAUCCUCGAGAUCCAGCUCCCGGUUCCUGGCAUCUGCUCUCGCGUGGCGUGUCCGGCGGAGGGUGUCCGGUCAGCGGGUGGCGGAGGAUCCCGCAGGUGGCAGAGGGAGGGCGAGGGGCCCUGCGACCCCAGACUGCGACUAGAACAUCCAUCAUUGUUAGCCCCGCAGCUAGCUUGGACACCAUUAAAAGGGCUCAUCAGCUGCAAAUGAAUAAAAGUAUCUGAUAUUCGUGAAGACAGAGUUUCAGGGCUUCUACCAGGAGCUACACUCUCUAGAAGC